AGAGUUUGAUCCUGGCUCAGGAUGAACGCUGGCGGCGUGCCUAAUACAUGCAAGUCGAACGAAUCUCUUUUAGAGAUGAGUGGCGAACGGGUGAGUAAUACAUAGGUAACCUGCCCCUGUGCAGGGGAUAACAGGAGGAAACUCCUGCUAAUACCGCAUAGCCAUGAGCACCGCAUGGAGCUCAUGCCAAAUAUCCUUUCGGGGAUAGCGCAGGGAUGGACCUAUGGCGCAUUAGCUUGUUGGCGGGGCAACGGCCACCAAGGCAACGAUGCGUAGCCGGCCUGAGAGGGCGGACGGCCACAUUGGGACUGAGACACGGCCCAGACUCCGUACGGGAGCA
rnacentral:rRNA from 1 species